rnacentral:rRNA from 1 species
AGUGAACGCUGGCGGUAGGCCUAACACAUGCAAGUCCAACGGCAGCACAGUAAGAGCUUGCUCUUACGGGUGGCGGGUGGCGGACGGGUGAGGAAUACAUCGGAAUCUACUUUUUCGUGGGGGAUAACGUAGGGAAACUUACGCUAAUACCGCAUACGACCUACGGGUGAAAGCAGGGGAUCUUCGGACCUUGCGCGAUUGAAUGAGCCGAUGUCGGAUUAGCUAGUUGGCGGGGUAAAGGCCCACCAAGGCGACGAUCCGUAGCUGGUCUGAGAGGAUGAUCAGCCACACUGGAACUGAGACACGGUCCAGACUCCUACGGGAGGCAGCAGUGGGGAAUAUUGGACAAUGGGCGCAAGCCUGAUCCAGCCAUACCGCGUGGGUGAAGAAGGCCUUCGGGUUGUAAAGCCCUUUUGUUGGGAAAGAAAAGCAGCAGGUUAAUACCCCGCUGUUCUGACGGUACCCAAAGAAUAAGCACCGGCUAACUUCGUG